CUUAUUGACCAUAUUUUCUUGUGUUUGCCUAUGUGGCGGUCAUUGCUGUUGUGUUAUACCCAACACACCAUUGUUAGUAAGAGCUGGCGGCGGUUUUCAAGUGAGGGUAGGGAACCGACAGACAAGGAUGAGGGUGGUCUGUGCAUGUGGUGGCAACAGCGCAGAAACCAUGUGAAAAUUCUCGAUAUAGAAGAUAGGGUCAGGUAUUGUGUUGUGUAUUCAGUGGUUGUUUUAGGGGAAUGUGCUGUAGGAUGAUUGGAUGAAGAUGAACCCGAUGUAGGGCCUGCUCCUCGGGAGACAACCCUGGCGUCUUCAUGGAUGCUCGAUAGGAUCGUAUUAUCUUACUGCCGUUUUGG